rnacentral:rRNA from 1 species
GCUUACGGCCACACCGGCCUGAGUACGCCUGAUGCUCGUCCGAUCUCGGAAGCUAAGCAGGGUCGGUCCUGGUUAGUACUUGGAUGGGAGACCGCCUGGGAAUACCAGGUGCUGUAAGCU